GUUUGUACUUUUGGAUUUGUAAUUUGUCGGAUUACAAGGUAUUUUUUUAUAAAAAAUUCCGGACUGUAAGGGGUCUUAGGAACUUUUCUAUAAUCCGACAAAUUCGUCGAUCCCACACUGCCCUACAAAGUGAUUGUCGGAUUACCGGGAUUCCACUGUAGUUAAAUUUUACUUAUAAUUCCCUUUUCUGCAUUAUACUACAGUUACCAUGUUGGCAUGAGUGUGUACUACGUAGCAAUUAUGUGCAUUUGCGGCGCUGCCGUUGCAGUACUACUCGCUGACCACCAGUCAAUGUUUUUGAUUAUUGCUGUAUUUGUUUUGUUUUGCCCAACAGCAACUUUGUGAUUAGUAUUUAUUCCCAAAAUGGUCAAUUAAAACGGAAUCCGGCUGGAUCCAUUGAUCAUCGCUGUAGGACAACUUUACGCCCGAUCAAAACCUAGAAGAGAUUCUAGCGCCUCCGAAAUGAAAUCCAAUAUUACAGAAGUAAAAGCAUACAACUCUAAAUAUAGUAUACUGUAUGUACCUACUGUCGGAGUGCGAAGGUAAACUAUGAGCACUCAUUCGACGAUUGAGCAAUAAAGCACGUGAAUUACUUGAUUGCACCAAUGGGACUAGUGCUGUUACUGGGACAAGUAGUGUAGGAGGCGCUAGCGUGGGUGGCAUAGGUGGUGACGGUAAUCGUUUGUCUGUACCACUUCUUCGUAAGAAUGCCCCAUCCGCGACGGAAACCAGCAUUUGCUCGCAAGAGCAGUUCCAUUCACUGCAACGUGGAGAAAGUCAAAGCCGGCGUCGAAUACAACCACAACCUAUAUCAAGCGCGCGCACCCCCGAUUUACACAAAGCUCAAACCUUUGAUGUUGAGCACCUUACAUGGCAUAGUGAGCUGCGACACAUGGACUGAAUUAAACAAAGACAUAACGGCAAUGGAAAAAAAUAUUCGAAGCGUUGAAGCGAUGAACCUCUGCAUCUCUUGGAGUGGUUAAAAAAACUAUAAAGGUCGAAAAAAUGUCCUUCGUACAGCAUUUGAAAAGUAAGUUAACGUGAUCUUCACAUUGAAUAAAUUUUAUGAAGAAAUAUGAGGCUUUCAUGAAUCCAAAUCGAGCAGCAUGCACAGCUGUGUUUUCUUCUGCCGCUCCAAAGUUGGAAUUAACAACUUCUCAUACAGGCGCGAAAGGAUCGGAGUAACACUAAUGGGUCUAGUGUUACAAAUUUUCGUUGAGUUUUUGUCUUUUUUCGGGUUUGACGACACUCUAGCAAUCUUCCACGUCUCAGAAUACAAAAAAUGUUGGCCAAAGUUAUAAUUGCCCUCUCACGGAGCAGCUUAAUUGCCUUUGGCGGAAGAUUGUCUAAGCCUGGAUCUUUUCCGGUGUUCUUAGAUUUGAUCGCCUGUUUAAUUUCGUCUAACUAAAAGACAAUCGCUUCGCUUGGCUGCGAAUUUAGAUCAACAGGGUCGCCAGACAAUGGGGUCCCCGGUUGUUUAUUAAUAAAUUGGUUCGUUAUAUAGAAAUUCUGCCGCAAUUCUACAUCCUUAAACAUUAUAUUUAUAUAUAUUUUACAAGAUAUAUGAAAAUAUGAUAUUUUUCAAGUGUUACGAGUAUUUAUUAAAAACUACACCACUUUAUAAA